rnacentral:tRNA from 1 species
GCAGGGAUGGUGGAACUGGCAGACACGCUACUUUGAGGGGGUAGUGGAGGUUCACUCCGUGCGGGUUCAAAUCCCGCUCCCUGCACCA